rnacentral:rRNA from 1 species
CCUACGGGAGGCUGCAGUGGGGAAUUUUGGACAAUGGGGGCAACCCUGAUCCAGCCAUUCCGCGUGAGUGAAGAAGGCCUUCGGGUUGUAAAGCUCUUUCGGCAGGAACGAAACGGUGGCCACUAAUACUGGCUACUAAUGACGGUACCUGAAGAAGAAGCACCGGCUAACUACGUGCCAGCAGCCGCGGUAAUACGUAGGGUGCGAGCGUUAAUCGGAAUUACUGGGCGUAAAGCGUGCGCAGGCGGUUUUGUAAGACAGAUGUGAAACCCCCGGGCUUAACCUGGGAACUGCGUUUGUGACUGCGAGACUCGAGUGCGGCAGAGGGGGGUGGAAUUCCACGUGUAGCAGUGAAAUGCGUAGAGAUGUGGAGGAACACCGAUGGCGAAGGCAGCCCCCUGGGUCGACACUGACGCUCAUGCACGAAAGCGUGGGGAGCAAACAGGAUUAGAUACCCCUGUAGUCCU